UACUGCAUUUUUUCUUACACAUGUGUUUUUCUUUUUUUGAAAACUUUGCUUUGGUAGGCCUUCUAUAUGGGGCCUGCCAGAGAUUAAACUCAACCAAAUUUUAUUUAAUGUCAACCGAUUAUUUAAUAGUCAAAACUUUCAACAACGGAUCUCUUGGUUCUCGCAUCGAUGAAGAACGCAGCGAAAUGCGAUAAGUAAUAUGAAUUGCAGAUAUUCGUGAAUCAUCGAAUCUUUGAACGCACAUUGCGCCCUUUGGUAUUCCAAAGGGCAUGCCUGUUUGAGCGUCAUUUCUCCCUCAAACCCUCGGGUUUGGUGUUGAGCGAUACGCUGGGUUUGCUUGAAAGAAAGGCGGAGUAUAAACUAAUGGAUAGGUUUUUUCCACUCAUUGGUACAAACUCCAAAACUUCUUCCAAAUUCGACCUCAAAUCAGGUAGGACUACCCGCUGAACUUAAGCAUAUCAAUAAGCGGAGG
rnacentral:rRNA from 1 species